CCUACGGGGGGCUGCAGUGGGGAAUAUUGGACAAUGGGGGCAACCCUGAUCCAGCCAUGCCGCGUGUGUGAAGAAGGCCCUCGGGUUGUAAAGCACUUUCAGUGAGGAAGAACGCCUGGUGGUUAAUACCCAUCAGGAAAGACAUCACUCACAGAAGAAGCACCGGCUAACUCCGUGCCAGCAGCCGCGGUAAUACGGAGGGUGCGAGCGUUAAUCGGAAUUACUGGGCGUAAAGCGCGCGUAGGUGGCUUGAUAAGCCGGUUGUGAAAGCCCCGGGCUCAACCUGGGAACGGCAUCCGGAACUGUCAAGCUAGAGUGCAGGAGAGGAAGGUAGAAUUCCCGGUGUAGCGGUGAAAUGCGUAGAGAUCGGGAGGAAUACCAGUGGCGAAGGCGGCCUUCUGGACUGAAACUGCCACUGAGGUGCGAAAGCGUGGGUAGCAAACAGGAUUAGAUACCCUGGUAGUC
rnacentral:rRNA from 1 species